CGCGGGAAAACGUCACUUCCGCCCGCGGCGUCACGUCCGCGAGGCUCCCGGGCCCGCCGGCGUCUGUGGGGAACUGGGGCGCUGGUCGGUGCGCGGGCUGGGACGCUAAGUCAUGAGGAAUUAAACUGGGAAACCUGGCGUGGGUCCAGGCGCCUUCCAGGAGGCAUCCGGCGCGGCCCGGACGUGCUUCUACCCAGAACCACCCCCUCCAGGCCGGGGUGCACUUAACGGGGCUAUACAAAGAGUCUGGUGGGUGACUGUGGGCCUCAUCCCUAUCCCGGGGUCUGAUAGGGAAGACUCUCGGGCCCCGCAGGGAAUAUCUGGCUAGUGCACCCUCGGCGGGAGCGCCACUCUCCCUCCUUGGGCGGCGCCCCCCACCUCUCAUCCCGCCCAAUCCGUUUUGCAAAGUCGGCCAAAACAAAAACAAACUUGGAGCGCUGAUAGACACUGUUAUUGCCCAUCUGAACUCGUCAACUGAGAAGGAAAGAGAUGGUUUAUGCUGUGAAUAAAAUACAGUUGUGCUGUGAUGUAAAUCCCCUCAUCCUGGAGCAGCUGAGCAAGGUCUAAGGCAGGAAGAACCUUCAAGCAGGUCAUGGCUGUAAGCCUCCUGAGUUUAUCCCAGCAAGUUGUAUAAGGGAUUAUCUUUUUAUCUGCAUAUUAUGACAUAUGUGAGGAUGUGUAAAGGUUUGGCAAGCACUGGCCUACUCAACAGCCAGUCCUACCUAACUUCAGAAAUCUUUCUUGUGGGCAAAUGUCAGGAGAUAGGGCCCAGGCCCAGGUCCAGCUACAAAGAAUGAAUACAAUUAAAGUGCUACUUCCAUUCACCUCACCCCAGAUUAGUUUAGGCAAGAGCUCAGGAUGCAGUUUUGACAUUUGAAAGAUAAGGAGUAGUCUGCUGGGAGCCUGAUAAAUUGAAACAGGGAUGGCACAGUUCUAAAUAUUAUUAAAUAAUAGUAAUAAUAUUAAGUAUUACUGAGGAUGUGACACUUCUGAUUGCUGCAGCCAUUGUAACGUGAGGCAAGCCAACCUACAGAGAAGGUAGAAAUGCUGAUAUUGGUGCAGGAGGAAUUUCAAAAGAAUCUGGAUCCUCAGUGUUAUAAAUGAGCCUCUGAUUUGGCCAGCCCUGGAGCUGACCUAAGCUGAGCUGAGGUUUUCACUUGUUUGCAACAGAAAGCAUCAUGACUGAUAAUGUUUCUCCUGUGCUUAUCUUCAGGAUAGAGACCAAAUCUUGGGUAUCAUCAUUGCCUUAGUACCUAGCACAGUGUUACACACACAGUAAAUGCUUGCUUACUAAAAGUAGGGAUGGCAGGAAAGUGAAGGAAAGUUCUAGGAACUGAAGUAAACUCUCUUCAUACGUAGAUAUCACUUGCUUUAUUUAAAACCAGUUUAUCAACAUCUAGAUUACAUUUAUGUAAUCUAGAUUUAUUUAUUACCAUAUUACAAUUAUGAUAAAGAGAUUUCUCAAUUUACAAAAGAAUAUAUGUCUUGACCAUGGAUUAAUUUAACUAUGUUCACUAGUAUGUAAAAUAUAUUUUCCUGCAGCCAUAAAAAGGAAUGAGAUCAUGUCCUUUGCAGGAACAUGGAUGGAGCCAGAAGCCUUUAUCCUCAGCAAACUAACGCAGGAACAGAAAACCAAACACUGCAUGUUCUCACUUAUAAGUGGGAGCUAAACAAUGAGAACACAUGGACAUGAAGAGGGGAACAACACACACUGGGGGAUUACUUGAGGGUGUAGGGUGAGAGGACAGAAGAUCAAAAAACUACCUAUCAGGUACUACACUUGUUACCUGGGUGGUGAAAAAAUCUGUACACACCAAACCCCAGAGACACACAGUUUACCUAUAUAACAAACUUGCACAUGUAUCCCUAAACCUAAAAUAAUAGUUUGAAAAAAGUGUGGUGUAUAUAUCAUAAUAUAUACACAUAAAUAGAUACACACACACACACACACACACACACACACACACACAUACACACAUACAUACCAUAAAAUAGACCCAGGAAGGGGAACAACACACACUGGGGCCUGUAGCGGGGAAGGGUGGGGAGAGGGAGAGCAUCAGGAGAGCUAAUGGAUGCUGGGCUUAAUACCAUGGUGAUGGGUUGAUCUGUGCAGCACACCACCAUAGCACACAUUUACCUGUGUAACAAACCUGCACAUCCUACACAUAUACCUGGGAGCUUAAAAGUUGAAGGAAAAAAUAAUAAAAUAUAUUUUCAUCCACACAACUCAGAAGCAAUUGAGUUCACCAUCAAAAUCUUUAGUUUUCUGUUGCAUUACCAAAGAAGUAUUAGAAUUUCGGCAGAGUCUAGACCAGGUACGGUGGCUCACGCCUGUAAUCCCAGCAGUUUGGGAGGCCAAGGCGGGUGGAUCACCUGAGGUCAGGAGUUUGAGACCAGGCUGGCAAACAUGGUGAAACCACAUCUCUACCAAAAAUACGAAAUUAGCUGAGUGUGGUGGCAGGUGCCUGUAAUCCCAGCUACUCUGGAGGCUGAGGCAGGAGAAUCACUUGAACCCAGGAGGCAGAGGUUGCAGUGAGCUGAGAUCAUGCCACUGCACUCCAGCCUAGGCGACAAGAGCAAGACCCCAUCUCAAAAAAUAUAUAUAUAUAUAUAUAUAUAUAUAUAUAUAUAUAUUUCAGCAGAGUCUUAAAAAAAUUCCCCCUGAACUUCUUGAAAUUCAUGGAUCUCUUCCAACCUGCUUGGUAAUUUUAAGAAGAUUGCUGUAAGACUCCUACAAAAAAUAUAUGUAUUUCUUAGAUUUUCUAUCUAGAGAGGGAACUCUCUUCAGUUUGAGACUCCUUCAGUGAUAUUAAAAUUUGGGGAAGGGUCUAAAAAGUCUUCAUCGUUCUAAAAAGCCUUCCUUCAAAGUUUUUAUACCCCCAAGCUACCACACUAUUUCCAUUUCUUAACCAUCUAGCUUCUUAGAAGGGUAGUCCCCAUUGGUUCUCUCUGCUUCCCCAAUUUCUCAGCCUGCUGGCCCCUGGCUUUCUUUCACUACCACCAAGAGCCCCCUUCUGAAAUCACUCUUUCAAAUGUCACUGAUGAUAGUUGUCAAUCCCAUGGCUUCUUUUGGUCCUCAACCUACUUGACCUUUCUUGCAGUCAAUAUAGUUAACCACUUCCUCUUAAAAAUUCCCUAGUCUUCCACAAAUCUAUGGUCUCCUUGUUCUCCUCCCUUGUUACUUCACAAAUUCCUUCAUUAGUUCUCUUUCUGCCGGUCCCUUCAAUGCAAGUGCUCCCUAGAGUAAUGCUACUCAAAGUGUAGUUCUUGGACCAGUGACAGUCUGCGAACUGUUUGUGUUUAGUCCACAAGGAAAUAAGUACAGAAAUUAAAAGGAUAAGUGCUUAGCAGUGUUUAUAUCAAUUUGACAUUUCAGGAAUAUCCGAGUGCAUGAUCAUUGGACAUUGCUUGUUAAACAGUUCAGGUAUUCUUCAACCUGGUUCUUGAGUUGCAGGUGGCAUGGUUGUGUCCCUGUCAUAUGCAAUAGUACGAUAUUACAAUGAGUAAAAUUUCAAGGUUUGUCACCUGCAACCCAAGAGUAAAAAUCUAUGAAAAUGUAAAUAUUUAUUUACUUAUAUAACUUGUUAUUUUUACAAUCAUUUUCAUUUUUAAUCAAGCCUAUUUUUUGUAAAUUCUUAGCUAAAUUAGGGGAGUAAAAUUUGUGUCAUUUGUUUUUAACCCUAAAUUAUAGAUGGCAAAACAAUCCUUACUGUCCAAUUUUGCCAAUACAAGACACACAUCAGUAAUGUGUUAGUAAUCACAGUAGUAAACUAAAUAAUGAUCAGAGAAGUAAUUCCAAAGAAUUAAACAAAUAGGAGUUUGUACUAAUUUUACUCAGAAGUAUAAUCCCUUGUUAUUGAGUUUGUAGCCAUAACUCAUAGUGAAGUGCUAAAAUCAUUACAGACUAAUGAAACAAUAAAGCCAUCAAACUUAAAGGACAUUUAUAUACAAAAUAUUAAAAAACUAAUUAUAAAUUUGAUAAAAUAUCUGAGUAUUUUCUAUCAAAACAAGCUCCACAUGCAAGAAAUUCAUGGAUCCAAAAUCCGUUUAUUUCAUUGAAAGAUAACUUGAGUGACAGUUUUUGAAACUGGCUACUGAUGAAAGAUUGAAGAUGAAUUUUGAAAAUAACGCAUUGUUUCCAUCAUUAAGGAUAAAAGUUAAAAGUGAUUAUCCUGAUAUUGUUAAAUUGCUUUAAGUCUUCUUCUGUUCCCUUCAACAUAUUUUUGAGAGACUAGUUUUUCUACUACUAGUGUUGUUAAAAUAAAAUAUAAAAACAAUUUAGAUAUACAUCAUCUCCUGCAAGUAGCAUGUCACCAAUCCAACCUAGAUUAGAUAAUUUAACAAGCAAAGAGCCCACUCAUUUCUCACAUUAAAACUUCAAAUAUUAACAUUCAUGUUGUUUAGUGGGAAAUUACUACUUCACUCCCAACUUUUUGUUAGUUGUUACGGCUGUGAGGUGAUAAAUAUUAGGAGGAUAAUGGCAAUUCUCUUUAUUAAUUAUCUAUCUGGACACUUUCAAUAAGCAAUGUACAUUUUGUAAUUUUUUCUUUUAUUUAUGUUUGUUCUGAUAAUUUUUAUUGAAAUGUAAUUCUAUUUCUGUUUAAUCUAAAAAAUGUGAGCUUGUACAAUAUUUGGUGUGCCUCUGUUUUCAUUAUAAUUUUUUGCAAUUUGUUUCUAUUUUACAUUCCAAAGUGUUAAUAUCACUUCAUGACAAACAGUUAAUGAAAAAGAAUGAAAAGUUCCUUCACAGAUAGUGUGGGAAACACUGGUCUUCAAGCGUCUUCAAUCCUCCUCUCUUCUUGCUCUAUUUCAAUCCCAUGACUUAAAUAACUUCCCAUAUGUGCAUGUUAGAUUCUUUCAGGUUUCAAGGAACAGAGACCUGUUCAGUUUAUCUGAAUUAUUCAAGGUUAAUAAUAAGGUCUGGGAGGAAAAGUAAAGAAAACAAAAAAGAACCCCUGCUGUUCCACUCAUGUAUCUUUUCAUCCCCCAGCAGCAGACUCCACUCCUUCCCGCCAUUGUGAAUAUUAUCAUCUUCAUCUUUUUAUACUGUACUACUUCUGCUACACUGACCUUCUCUCCAUGCCACCAAACCACACUCCUAAGUGCAGAGAAUAUGAUUGAUUCUCCUACUAUACCAAUUUCCAUGAGCAGGACCAAUUACAUAAUUUGCAGGGUCCAGAGGAAAAAAAAUGCAGAACUCCUCAUUGAAAAAUUACUAAGAAUUUCAAGAUGGUGGCAACAGAGCAUUAAACCAACCACAGGGUCUUUCUAACAUGGAGAACUAAGUGACUACACAGGCUACAUGUCCACGAAGCCAGACAGUCUCUGAAGUGCAGGCUCAACUCUGCCUGGCAGUGGCAAGGGCCAGGGCCAGUGACUGAAGCAACAAACUGCCAGAUGACUGCAGCUCAAGCCAAUGCACAAAGCCACUGCAACAAGAGAGGAAAUUCUUCCAUUUCCAAGUGUGUCGAUUUCUCCCCAUCAAGGAAAACAGCUAAGGCAAUGUGUUGAUAUUUUCUUUGACCAAGUCAUCAGGAGUCACAUAGACAUACAGCACUCAAGAAGUGGCUGUAACUAAAGGCACAUCUCGUUCAUCUACAACCCUUGUAAUCCCAACCUUUGUCUGAUGCACAAACCCUUCCCUAGUUCUCCCCACCACCACCACUGCACCUCCAAGUGGGGACAACGAAUUGUUUCAUUUGCAUGUGGUUUUUCUCAUGAAAAAUAUCAUUAACAUGAGACAGCCCCAAACCAAGGAAACCAGAAGUGGGGUUUGUGCUUGGUCUUACUGAGAGCUUUCCCUACUUGACCAGACCCCAGCAUUGUUCUAGAUUUGUCUCUUGUGGGCUACAGGAAUGCAAACAUUUUGUAGUUUCCUCUUUUUUGUUUUCUUAAUGGCUUGAUGAGCCACACAUGUUUCUCUAAAUGCAUGAUUUUAAAUUCACACAAUUUCUGCCAACUAAACUUAAUGCAUUCUCCUCCUCUUCUAAUCAAUAAGGGCUAUCAGAAUGUUUUGGGUGAAGAUGAGCGGAAGGUAAGAAAUUACAUACUGUGGGCCAGGUUUGGUGACUCACAUCUGUAACCCCAGCACUUUGAGAGACCAAGGCAUGCAGAUCGCUUGAGGCCAGGAGUUCAAGACCAGCCUGGCCAACAUGGCGAAAUCCUAUCUGUACUAAAAAUACAAAAAUUACCCAGGCGUGAUGGCUCAUGCCUGUAGUCCCAGCCACUCAGGAGGCUAAGGCAAGAGAAUCACCUGAACCCAGGAAGUGGAGUUUGCAGUGAGCUGAGAUCACGCCACUGGACUCCAGCCUGGGCAACAGAGUGAGACUCUGUCUCAAAAAAAAAAAAAAAUUACAUACUGUCGAGUAUGACCUAAAAACAUAGAGAGACUAUAUUUCAAUAGUAUGACAGGAUUAUGUUAGCUGCUAAUAACAGAACCCAAAAUAACAAUAGAUUAAAUAAAAGAUUAGUAUCCCAGGUAAAAGUCUAGAGGUAGGAAUUCUAGGACUAAGUGAAGGUUCUGCUCAGUGAAGUCCUCAGGGACACAGGCACCUUCAGCUCAUAACUCUAUCAUCCCUGGAGGGUACUUAAGGGUCCAGGAUGGCAGCCAAAAGUCGUACCUACGUUUUAAACAGCAGGGUGCUGGAAGGCAUAAAGAAAAAGCCAGAGGCACACGCCUGUUCUCACUUAAGGAAAAUUCCUGGAAACUGCCACAAUACACCUUCGCUUACAUCCCAUUGAUCAAAACGUGGAUGCAAAGCCACACCUUACUGUGGGGUACAGGGAAAAAAAACUUUUUUUGACAAUCAUGAGUUCAUUAACAGAAUUCAGGGAUCUCUUAAUACAGAAGCAAGGGAGAACAGCUGUUGGGGGACCACCGGAAGUCUCUGCUCUAAAGAACAAUGUAAAUACCUGGUGGUAGACUAACACUGAUGGCCUACAAUGAAUCACACCUACUGACAUUCAUGCCUUUGUGCAGAGUUCCACACUGAUGCUGGGCUUGGCCUUGUGACUUGUUUGGCCAAUAGGAUCUCAGCAAGCACCUUGAUAAGUGCUUGUGCAUUAGGGCUUGCUGUCCUGAAAUCCAGGUGCCAUGUAAGAAGUGUGGGUUAGUCCCUAUGAAGAUGACAGACCACAUGGAGAAAGAGGCUGAGCCUAUACCCACCCACCUACCAGAGAAGAUCAGCAGAAGAACCAGUGAAUCAUUAUUGCUUUAGUCAUUAAUUUGGGGGCAAUUUGUUAUACAGCGAUAGAUAAGUGGUACAGUACAUAGACAAAUUUCUGCAGUUCAUCGAGCAUUAGCACCAAAUAAGUAUACAACAGUGUUUGGAGCACUAAAGAGAGUAUAAAAUAUUGCUUAAAAUUGUUUCCUUGGCCUCAUGAAACAGAAAUCGGCUCUGAUUAGCAACCAAAAAAUGAGAAUUUAUUGGAAGA
rnacentral:lncRNA from 1 species